CCAAUAGCGUAUAUUAAAGUUGUUGCAGUUAAAAAGCUCGUAGUUGAAUUUCGGGGUUAGCAGGUCGGUCGUGCCAUCGGUAUGAACUGGUCUCGCUGAUCCCUCCCUCUUGACGAACUGUGAUGCCAUUAAUUUGGUGUCGCAGGGAAUCAGGACUGUUACUUUGAAAAAAUUAGAGUGUUUAAAGCAGGCUCACGCUUGAAUACAUUAGCAUGGAAUAAUGAAAUAGGACGUUUGAUCCUAUUUUGUUGGCUUCUAGGAUUGACGUAAUGAUUAAUAGGGAUAGUUGGGGGCAUUAGUAUUCAAUUGUCAGAGGAGAAAUUCUUGGAUUUAUUGAAGACUAACUACUGCGAAAGCAUUUGCCAAGGAUGUUUUCAUUAAUCAAGAACGAAAGUUAGGGGAUCGAAGACGAUCAGAUACCGUCGUAGUCUUAACCAUAAACUAUGCCGACUAGGGAUCGGAUGAUGUUAAUUUUUUAAUGACUCAUUCGGCGCCUUACG
rnacentral:misc_RNA from 1 species